rnacentral:rRNA from 1 species
UAUUUUGGAAGAGAUGCAUUUAUUAGAUAAAAAACCAAUACAUACUUUUUCAAGUAUGAAAUUUGGUGAUUUACAAUAACUUAGCAAAUCGCAUAGUGAAAACAGGCGAUAAAUCAUUCAAGUUUCUGACCUAUCAGCUUUCGACGGUAUGGUAUUGGCUUACCGUGGCAGUGACGGUUAACGGGGGAUUAGGGUUCGAUUCCGGAGAGGGAGCCUGAGAAACGGCUACCACAUCUAAGGAAGGCAGCAGGCGCGCAAAUUACCCAAUUCUAACAGCAUAAGAGAGGUAGUGACAAGAAAUAACAAUACAAGGCAGUUAAAAUGCUUUGUAAUUGGAAUGAUAGAAAUUUAAACACUUUUUAAAGUAUCAAUUGGAGGGCAAGUCUGGUGCCAGCAGCCGCGGUAAUUCCAGCUCCAAUAGCGUAUAUUAAAAUUGUUGCAGUUAAAAAGCUCGUAGUUGAAUUUCUGUUAAAAAUAACCGGUCUGCUUUUAAUAAAAGUGGUAUCUUGGUGUGUUUUUAGCAAUAAUGUCCUUUGAAAUGUUUUUUACUUUAUUGUAAUAAAUAAUAUUCAGGAUUUUUACUUUGAGAAAAUUAGAGUGUUUCUAGCAGGCUAACGCUUUGAAUACUGCAGCAUGGAAUAAUAAAAUAGGACUUUAGUUCUACAUUAUUGGUUUUAAGAACUAAAUUAAUGAUUGAUAGGGACAGUUGGGGGCAUUUGUAUUUAACUGUCAGAGGUGAAAUUCUUAGAUUUGUUAAAGACAAACUACUGCGAAAGCAUUUGCCAAAGAUGUUUUCAUUAAUCAAGAAC